rnacentral:rRNA from 1 species
UACGUAGGUGGCAAGCGUUGUCCGGAAUUAUUGGGCGUAAAGCGCGCGCAGGCGGCCUUUUAAGCCUGAUGUGAAAUCUUGCGGCUCAACCGCAAGCGGUCAUUGGAAACUGGAGGGCUUGAGUACAGAAGAGGAGAGUGGAAUUCCACGUGUAGCGGUGAAAUGCGUAGAUAUGUGGAGGAACACCAGUGGCGAAGGCGACUCUCUGGUCUGUAACUGACGCUGAGGCGCGAAAGCGUGGGGAGCAAACAGG